rfam:Aphanomyces invadans strain NJM9701 unplaced genomic scaffold supercont1.7, whole genome shotgun sequence.
GACAGCUUGGCCGAGUGGUUAAGGCGACAGACUUGAAAUCUGUUGGGGUAACCCGCGUGAGUUCAAACCUCACAGCUGUCG